UGGACAUCUGAGUUAUCAUUCUUGACCGCCGAAUCAACACCUGCAUUAUUAGGAGAAAUUGUAGUCUGGCCUACCCCGGGAACUUGAUUGUUUUCUCCAGCUGGAGCUGGAGCUGGCUCGGUGGGUUUCAUAGGCACAUCCUUCACAGGUUCGGCUGAAGGCUUCUCUAAUGGUUUUACAGGCUCAUCCUUCACAGGUCCAGCUGAAGGCUUCUCUGCUGGCUUCACGGGCUCUUCUGUCACAGGUCCAGCUGAAAGCUUCUCUGAUUGUUUCACGGGCUCAUCCUUCACAAGUCCAGCUGCAGGCUUCUCUGUUGGUUUCACAGGCUCAGAUGUAGCACCAAGC
rnacentral:lncRNA from 1 species